rnacentral:misc_RNA from 1 species
GAUGAAGAACGUAGCGAAAUGCGAUAAGUAGUGUGAAUUGCAGAAUUCAGUGAAUCAUCGAGUCUUUGAACGCACAUUGCGCCCCCUGGUAUUCCGGGGGGCAUGCCUGUCCGAGCGUCAUUGCUGCCCUCAAGCACGGCUUGUGUGUUGGGCCUCCGUCCUCCUCCCGGGGGACGGGCCCGAAAGGCAGCGGCGGCACCGCGUCCGGUCCUCGAGCGUAUGGGGCUUCGUCACCCGCUCUUGUAGGCCCGGCCGGCGCUUGCCGACACAUCAAUCUUUUUUCCAGGUUGACCUCGGAUCAGGUAGGGAUACCCGCUGAACUUAAGCAUAUCAAUAAGCGGAGG